CCAAAAACUUAUUUUCCAUGCUGAAAUAAGAAAUACUGUUUUUAAAAAGUCUGUUGUGCAAAUGUCAAUUCUUGUGAACAUGUGAUAUACGGCAUAUCAAUCUCUGCAGAGCUGGUGUGAAGCCCAGCAACUGGGUCCAGGGACAGGAAGGGACAUGGGGAGAGCAGUUCCUAGAGGUUUCACUUUUUCUGCUUGCUUGGUGUAGCUCCUGCAGACCUUGUCCAGGGUUGACCGUGGGGCAAGAGCAGCAGGGAAGAGGCUGAAGACCCGGGGAGACUGCGGAGGAGCUGGCAGAAGGCAGGGGGAAUCCUGCCAGGUGGUGGUGGGGAAGCUGCUGCAGCACUCAGGCCAGGCCGCCAGGAGCAGCAGCAAAUUCACAUGAACCAAUGAAGAACCGACCCAUCCUGCUUAGCAUAGUCACUCAAGCACACGAGUCACACUCCAGUCAGACCUGACAAAAUGAAUAUAUAUAUAUUUAUAUAUAUAUAUAUAUAAAUAUAUAUAUUCAUUCAUUAAUAAUUGGGAGAGUUUUCUGUAUCAUAGUUAUGUUUUAGGAAAUGGGGUGGACAUUUAGAAUUUAUGUGUAAUACAUUACUAUUUUCUCCUUUAAAAUAAUGAGCAGUAGGCUUCCAGUCAGGGCUCCACCUAGAAAUCUGAUUUACAGUGACAGCGUCUGCCAUGAGCCAGGGAAGCCUGGACAGGACGCUCUCCCCUGUCCAACAGACUCUUCCAAAAGACACCUCCUUGAGAUUUAGAAAACUCUACUUUGUUUCCCCCAAAUUCAAUAUAAGCAGAUUUUUUAUUAGAAAAGUAAAGUUUUCUGUGACUCAAUUUGUGACCAUAUCUUAUUAAGGUUAAAAAAACAGGAUGUGGCUGGGCACAGUGUCUCAGGCCUGUAGUCUCAGCACUUUGGGAGGUCAAGGAGGGUGGUUUGCUUGAGUCCAGGAGUUCAAGACCAGCCUGGGCAAUAUGGCAAAACCCAGUCUCUACCAGAAAUACAAAAUAAUUAGCAAGGCAUGGUGGCACAUGCCUGUAGUCCCAGCCACUCGGGAGGCUGAGGUCAAAGAAUCACCUGAGCCUGGGAGGUCGAGGCUACAGUGAGACAUGACUGUACCACUGCACUCUAGCCUGGGUGACAGAGUGAGACCCUGUCUCAAAAAAAAAAAAAAAAAAAAAAAAAAAAGGAUGUGAGGAAGUCUCUCAGUUUCCAUCAUGGAUAAACAAUAUUAAUAGAAAUGGGAGUUUUAGUUACUGCUAAUUCUUUGCCACCUUUCUGUCCUUGGUAUUAUGCUGACUUUUCUUUGUUUAAACACUCACCUAUAUGAUUUGACAACAUUUAAAUCUGGAUUUUCCUUAUCUAAGUUGAAAAAAACAUAAACCCAACAUCUUGAUUGUAGGUCGGCCCUUUCUUCUAAUUUACGUUUUCAUUUCCAGAGGUCUCAUUUUCCUGAUUUGUAAAAUGGCUACAGCGAUGCUGAGGGUAUUCAAAAGAAUCUGUGGCUCCUCAAGAGUAAUUCUAGUUAGGCUCCUUUUUUGGGGUAACUUGAUAUGCAAGAGCAUAACAGACGAGUAAACUA
rnacentral:lncRNA from 1 species